rnacentral:rRNA from 1 species
UACGUAGGGGGCUAGCGUUGUCCGGAAUCAUUGGGCGUAAAGAGCGUGUAGGCGGUCCGGUAAGUCCGCUGUGAAAGUCGGGGGCUCAACCCUCGAAUGCCGGUGGAUACUGUCGGGCUAGAGUGCGGAAGAGGCGAGUGGAAUUCCUGGUGUAGCGGUGAAAUGACGCAGAUAUCAGGAGGAACACCUAUUGCGAAGGCAGCUCGCUGGGACGUUACUGACGCUGAGACGGCGAAAGCGUGGGGAGCAAACAGG